CCUACGGGAGGCAGCAGUGGGGAAUAUUGGACAAUGGGCGAAAGCCUGAUCCAGCCAUGCCGCGUGUGUGAAGAAGGCCUUCGGGUUGUAAAGCACUUUCAGUGGGGAAGAAAGCCUUGGGGCUAAUACCCUCGAGGAAGGACAUCACCCACAGAAGAAGCACCGGCUAACUCCGUGCCAGCAGCCGCGGUAAUACGGAGGGUGUGAGCGUUAAUCGGAAUUACUGGGCGUAAAGCGCGCGUAGGCGGUCUGAUAAGCCGGUUGUGAAAGCCCCGGGCUCAACCUGGGAACGGCAUCCGGAACUGUCAGGCUAGAGUGCAGGAGAGGAAGGUAGAAUUCCCGGUGUAGCGGUGAAAUGCGUAGAGAUCGGGAGGAAUACCAGUGGCGAAGGCGGCCUUCUGGACUGACACUGACGCUGAGGUGCGAAAGCGUGGGUAGCAAACAGGAUUAGAUACCCUUGUAGUC
rnacentral:rRNA from 1 species